rnacentral:lncRNA from 1 species
GGCUCGGUCCUGUUCGGGCGCGGGCGAAGCUGGGCCGGUUCGGCCCAAUUCGGCCGGGCCGGUCCGUUUCUUCCUUUUUUUUUCUUUUAGCCUUUUCUCUUUUUCUUUUUCUGAUUUCUUUGAUAUCUUUAUAUUUUGAACUCCAAAUUGGUCCAAAUAAAUUCCAGAAUAUCCCCUCAAAAUAAAAUAUAUAAAAAUGCAUUUGCCCUAUAAAUGCCUUUAGGGCUAUAUAAGUAUUUAAGUAAAAUAGUUUUUCAACUCCCACUGAAUAUCCAAAAAUUAUGGGAUAGCUUAUUUAUGAAAUAAACCCCUUUUAUAGAUAAACCCUAUUGGUUUGAAGAUCCAAAGCUCAAAUGGGUGAAACCCUAUGGUUUAAAAUUAAAUAAAAACCUUUUUAAACCCUUUUGAGAUUCAAAUUUGAAUUCAAAAAUGCAAUUGUGGCAUGAUGCUCAUGAGUGCAAUGCAUAUGAAAGGUUUUGGAAUUUUGGGAUGUUACACUUGAUCAUGUUGAUUAUACCUAUUGCCUCUCCCUUAAUCUUGCAUUAAGUUACGAUCUCGGUUUUGUCACGAUGCCUUUAGGAUUGCAUAGCUUAUUAGUCAGCUCCACUUAUUGUCAUAUGUCUUGUUACUUGUCCUAUUUACCAUGUAAUAUGUUUGUUGUUGCCCUACUUGGUCAUUAGAUGUCAUGCUUAGGUUGCGAGUCUAGAGUCCUUAUACUUUUGGGGUUCCACAAUUGCUACAUCCACAUGCUACUUUAUAUAUUUAAUUACAAUCUUAAAACUGUGAUUUGAUAUUAAACUGUAACAAGGCAACGAUGCGAGGCCAUGCUAAGGCAUUGGUGAUUUGUUCCAUUCGAGCUGACCGAAGGACCGAGUUCUCGUUUUCGCUGAUCCAAGAAACAUUGCGCUAACCGCUCGUGGGAGAAUAUAUGGGUUCCCCCUCAGCCUAUUGUAGCUGAUUCAUUGCUCUUCCAAGGGCCACAUAGUUCGGGCUUUUCAUUUGGCAUUUGCAUACACACAGAGAUUGUUGGAGACUUGUUGGUGACUUUUGCAUUCAUAUAGGAUGGCGGCGACCUGUCGGAAUGGUCAUCCUGCGCGGCCCUGAACCACUUCUCGACAGGCUCGCGCAACUCUUGAGUCCGUACGACGCUUCGGCCGGGCUCUCGUUUCGGGUUAGACUCAGUUUGGUAUUCCCCUGGAUUAGUUGUGGAGCUAGGAAACGUCGUGUCGCUCAAUCCUGCCGGCACAGGCUUUUGCGUGUGUUCCAUCUAGUGGCAUCAAGGGUUGGAUGAACGUGUACGGGUAAAUUGGUGC